rnacentral:rRNA from 1 species
CCCUUAGAUGUUCUGGGCCGCACGCGUGCUACACUGAGUGGAUCAGCGGGUCAGGUUGCGCGAAAGUGUUUCCUAAUCUUUAAAUCCGCUCGUGAUGGGGAUUGACGGUUGCAAUUUUCCGUCAUGAACGAGGAAUACCUUGUAAGCGCGGGUCAUCAUCCCGCGCUGAAUACGUCCCUGCCCUUUGUACACACCGCCCGUCGCUCCUACCGAUUGAGUGGUCCGGUGAGGCUUUGGGAUCUGAGCGGAAAGAGCGUUUCGCUGUUUCUGCCCGGAAAACUCAGUCGAACCUUAUCAUUUGGAGGAAGGAGAAGUCGUAACA